rnacentral:rRNA from 1 species
AUGCCAUGCCAUGCCUCAUUAAACUGGACAUGCAUCAUACUUGUUUGCGCAUCGUGCCAUGCUUAUGUGGUGGUUGUUUACUAUGGUGUUUGCUUUCUUUCUGGUGUACUUCGUCUCGGUAAUCCGGUAACGUCGUGUUGUGAGGAUUCGUUCGACUACGUCCGUUUGUCUUCUUCAUGGACUCAUUCUUCUUCCUUGCGGAAUCUCAGUUUGCAGGUGCCGUUGAGACGUGCAGGUGACGCAACCAAGCUCAAGGAGGAGCUCGAUGAAGACCUUGUCCUUUGUGUUGUUUCGUUCCAGUUGAUCAGUAGUAGAGCCCAGUUGGGGUCGAUCGGGGAUCUAUGUAGCAUUUGGGGUAGUCUUCUUUUAUUUUGGGUUCCGUAG